CGGAAAUCUUUGGCAUUCCUUGGCUUGUAGACGCAUCACUCCGAUCCUCCAUCUUCACAUGGCAUUCUCCCUUUGUCUCUUCACACAGCUUUCCUUUUAUAAAGACACCAGUCAUAUCAGAUAAGAGGCCCACUCUACUCCAGUAUGGCCUCAUCUUAACCCAUAACAUCUGCAAUUACCCUGUUUUCAAAUGAGGUCACAUUCUAAGGUACUGGGGGUUAAGAUUUCUGUAUACCUUGUUUGAAGAAGAUGACACAAUUCAGCCCAUAAUAUACACCAAAAAGCAAUAUAAUAUUCACACGAUUAGAAUAUUCCUGAAAUUGCAUCUUACAGGUUCAUAAAAAUAGAAUAUUUAUAAAAGCAAUUUUAAUAGCCAAAAACUAUGAACAACACAAAUGUCUAUCACCAUUAGAAUGAAUCCUAAAGUUGUAAUAUAUUCAUGAAACAUAAUACUACACAGAAAUUAAAAUAACUACAAAUGAAACAACUCUGAUGAACAUCACAGACAUAAAAGAAGUCAUACAUGAAAUGCACACAUUGAACCAAUUAUAUUAAAUUUUUAAAAUAGGCAAUCUAAACAUUUAUUUAGGGAUGCAUGGUUACAGACUAAAACUGCAAAGACAAGUGAUUACCAUAAAACUGAGGAUGAAGGUGAUUAAGCGUUAAAAUCAGGAGGGGACAUAAAGGAGCUUCUGGGGUACUAGCAAAGUUCAAUUUCUUAACCCACAUAAGUUACACGAUUACAAUGAGUUUUACUCCAUUACUGACCCUGUCAGUUGAAAAGGCCUAGAAGCAAUGACACCCCAGUAGCAAUGAACAUACCCAGCACGCAGAUCUUGAUUUCCAAAUGCUAUUCUCCACUAAAAGAAAUAGAAGUGCCUGGCUCCAGCGUUGAAAUGAGCCUGGAAUAUCUGAUUGUGCUCAACAGCAAAGAAAUCACUCAAUGGAUGAUUAAGUCAUAUCAAAAGGACACAGGAUCAGCUUGAAGGAGCUCCCAUUGGCCUGAUUUAGGACAAUUUGGGCAUCAAUAUGAAUGAUAGUAAAGAAAUAUACACACUGAAGAAAAUAAGAAUCCAGGAGUCCACAAAGAUAUUUUUAGAAAGGAAGGAGAAAUGAAAGCUGUUUAUAGCAGGAAGCUAACUAAUAACAUAAAACAAUGAAAUCAGAAAAUCACCAUUUGGCAACCAUCAGAGUAAUAAAUGAUUCAGGCAAGACUUAUCAAUGGAGGCUAGCCAGUGGGUAAAAGUUUGAGAAAUAACAGGAUACUCAGAGCCUUAAAAUAUUCCAAGAUACUUAUAAAAGGAAAAAUAACUUUACAGUGGAGUAACCUUAUAGACACUAACUUAACCAAGUGAUUAAUGUUAACAUCACCAGAAACGGAGCAAACUGACAGCAUGUGCCUCCGUAAGCAUCUUUUCUAUGGCAUUCCUCACAAAAAUGCAUGAGGUGAAUUUCAUCAUGAGAAUAUAUCAAACAGACCCAAAUUGAGAGACAUUCCACAAAAUGCAUGGCUUCAACUACAAAUAUCAAGGUUAUGAAAAACAAGCAAGAUUAAAGAACUAUUCCAGGUUACAGGAGACUGAAAAGACAGGACAACUAAAUGUGGCCCAUAACUCAGGAUUUUCUUCUGUUGUAAAUGACAUUAUUGGCACCACUGGUGAAACACAAAUAACAUCGAAAGAGAGAGAGAGAAAGAGAGAAACAGCGACAGGAGAGCAAGAGUCAGAGACAGAAGAAAGAGAGAAAGAAAAUAAAGACUAAAAUACAGAAAAAUGGUAACAGAUAGAGAAGUAGGGUAAAAGGUAUAUAUAGGAAUUCUUUGUACUAUUCUUACAACUUUUCUGUUUGCCGGAAAUUAUGUCAAAAUAAGAAGUUGAAAGACAAAAAUCUCACACAAUACAUAAAAUUAGACAUUUCAUAAAAGCAGAAAAAGAUGAGAAAUUCUUCAACUACUUUAAAUACUAAAAUACCACUUUUGCUACUUAACACUAAAAACAUAAAUGACAAAAUUCAGUGGUAGCAAUUCUGGAAAACCUGAUACAUACUUUCAAACUUCGCUGUUUGAGUGAUCACUAGUCCAACAUUUUGAGGAACAACUUAGCAAUAUGGACUAAGAGCAAUAAAAAUGCAGAGACUCUAGUGAUUCCACUUCUGGAACUCUAUCCUAAGGAAAUAAAUACCAAACACUGAAAAGGCAUUAUACAAAGAUAUAAUCACAGCAGUCUUAUAUAAAAUAAUGUAAACUGGGAAAAAUCCCAA
rnacentral:lncRNA from 10 species